CACGUAAGGAGCGAGCGUUUUUCGGAAUUAUUGGGCGUAAAGGGUGCGCAGGCGGUCUGGUAAGCCUGGUGUGAAAUACCGCAGCUUAACUGCGGGAACGCGCUGGGAACUGCUAGACUAGAGUUUUGGAGGGGAGACUGGAAUUCCUGGUGUAGGGGUGAAAUCUGUUGAUAUCAGGAAGAACACCUGAGGCGAAGGCGAGUCUCUGGCCAUGAACUGACGCUGAGGCACGAAAGCGUAGGGAGCGAACAGG
rnacentral:rRNA from 1 species